rnacentral:snoRNA from 7 species
CUGCAGCCAAUUAAGCCGACCAGGUUCCUUUCCUCAUAGGAGUCUGGUGUGCAAUGGUUGCAAACAGCAUCCUCCUUGCUAGUGUAUGCAGCCUGCUGAAUGUGCAGGCUGCCCAAAGGGACCUUGGAGACAGUC